rnacentral:rRNA from 1 species
CACGUAGGGCGCAAGCGUUGUCCGGAAUUAUUGGGCGUAAAGAGCUCGUAGGCGGUCUGUUGCGUCCGCUGUGAAAUCUCGGGGCUUAACCCCGAGCCUGCAGUGGAUACGGGCAGACUAGAGGUAGGUAGGGGAGAAUGGAAUUCCCGGUGUAGCGGUGAAAUGCGCAGAUAUCGGGAGGAACACCGGUGGCGAAGGCGGUUCUCUGGGCCUUACCUGACGCUCAGGUGCGAAAGCUAGGGGAGCGAACAGG